GUUUCGCAACAGGAGCGCGUGUUUCACAUCACCUGUAAUUGGUUAAUCAGUUUCAGUUUAAAUAAACGCAUGUAGGUGACUUACCUGACCGAGCGCCUGCAGUCGUGCCGCAGAGCCAGAGUUUACAGCAGUGAGUCCAGUCUUAGUGAAAGAGGGAGCUGCAACGAAGGAUGCCAAAUGAAACACGGUGCAAUAUGGCGAUGAAGAUGUCACUCGGACCAGUUGACGAACACUGAUGGCCCUUCUGCAGAACAGCUCAGGAAUACAGCGACAUCCUGGAUGCCUACGUCCUUUUCUUCAAACAUCCAUCCCUCUGUCUAUCCUCUAUAUCUCUUAUCCCUUGUGAGGCGCAGGGGGGCUUGAGCCAAUCCCAGCAGACAUUGGGCCUAAGGUAGGAUACAUCCUGGACAACUCACCAGUGUAUUGCAGCACUGACGUAUAGAGACAAACAUCCAUUCACACUGACAUUCAAACCUACGCUCGAUUCAGAAGUGAAUGAGGAAGCUGCCGUUCCUUAAACUCACUCCGGCAUGGGGGAGAACACAGCCGGCCGUCUAGUUGGAACCCAGGAGAUGACCGUGCUAACCACGGCUUUCAUCAAACAAAGGAGCAGCAAUAUUCAUGAAAUCCAACACGCAGCAAGAGCAGUUGUGAUAUAAAAUGGCACAGUUAAAAUGAGCUUAUUCUGGUUUUAGCUCUCAGGUCUGUUGGUAACAAGAUGCCUCUUCUGGAAUGCAUCUCAGCCAAAGCCUUCACUGCUGUCUGUCACUGCACCGCCACUGACUCAUUAGUUCAGAGAGAGAGAGAGAGAGAGAGGUAAUGUAAAUCGUUUUUAUUUAUCAGAAUUAUAUUCUGGCCUUUAUCAAGACUCCCUUUGCUUUGGUUCCUUUCACUGAGGCUAAAGUGGAGAUCUCUGGAUUUGUAUCCAUCCUAUCCUAUAAAGAGCCUGAAUGUGUUCCUCCCAGUUCAUCUGACCUUGCAACGAGGGGGAUGACAUCUUCCCCUGACUGCUGUUUCCCAGUAAAUCACUCUGUUUUGUAAAAUAAUGAAUGGGGGUCAGAGCAAAGUUUACCGUCAUAAUUAUUAACUUGCUGACUCCACUUUUUUUCUCUGAAAAAAAACAGGAGUUCACAGUUUGUUCUAACCCAAGCCUGAGACGUCUACCGGCCAUAUCAUAAAA